rnacentral:rRNA from 1 species
AGAACGAACGCUGGCGGCAUGCCUAAUACAUGCAAGUCGAACGAACUCUUCGGAGUUAGUGGCGCACGGGUGCGUAACGCGUGGGAAUCUGCCCCUUGGUUCGGAAUAACAGUUGGAAACGACGUGCUAAUACCGGAUGAUGACGAAAGUCCAAAGAUUUAUCGGCCGAAGGGAUGAGCCCGCGUAGGAUUAGCUAGUUGGUGAGGUAAAGGCUCACCAAGGCAACGAUCCUUAAGCUGGUCUGAGAGGAUGAUCAGCCACACUGGGACUGAGACACGGCCCAGACUCCUACGGGAGCAGCAGUAGGAAUAUGGACAAUGGGCGAAAGCCUGAUCCGAGCAAUGCCGCGUGAGUGAUGAAGCCUUAGGUGUAAAGCUCGUUUACCGAG